CGCCAGUCACCGGCCUCAGUUUCGCAGACUUGAGCGGGCAAAGCCGCCGCUACUUUGUAGCGGGUUCGGGGCCCGACCCCGGCUGCGGCAGUAAGAGCGGGUCUCGGACCCACUCUGGGCCUGGGAGUUUGUCUCCGACGUCUGCGGUGCAGCGGCCUGAGUUCUAAGCGCAGGUUGAAAACUACAGAUACAAGCCAUUGAAGCUGGAAUGCACUGAUGCUGGUAUUUUAACUGACUUACACCAAUUAUCACUCUGCAGUUCUUAUACGCAAGUGCCUCUAAUGAAGUCAGCUAGCCUCACAUACAUAAUAUGGAGCAGCCACGUGUCUGCACUGGCACAUGUGUUAGCGCAGUGGGGUAAUGCUGCUGGUGAGAAGGCAGUGUAGCAUGUGCUUUAUUUUCAUCUUUUCAGUUAGAUUCUCACGACUCUAUGAAGUUGAUACACAGCUGACCCUUAAGGAACAUGGGUUUGAACUUUGUCGGUCCACUUAUACACGGAUAUUUUUCUAUAGUAAAUACUGCAGUACUAUACUGUCCAUGGUUGGUUGAGUAUGUGGAUAAGGAGGGCCCACUGUAAAUUAUAUCCAGAUUAACCCCUGCCUUGUUGAAGGAUCAACUGUCUAUGUGGGUGAAAAACAUUUCAGGCAGAGGGGGAGCAAGUGCAAAGGCCCUGGGGAGGGAAGCGUUUAAAGGUGUUGGGGGAAAGUAAAGUGAAGCUGCAGAGCAAUAGCCUUAAGGGAGGAUCUUGUGACAGUCUGUGUGCAGGGCUAAGGUGGAUAUUUUAGACCACUCUAAAAUGGCAACUUGCUCUGGCCUCUAUCAUGCUAUAACUUACCUGGUGUGCACCCUUUCACCUAUACGCCUUCCCAGUCUUAUCCAACUUUUCUGUGACUGUCUUUCUCCCAAGUGCUCAUGUUCUGGAUUUCUGUAGCACCCUGUAAUGGCCUUCGCAUACUUGGGAGAACAUUUGUAGUUGCUUGUGUACUUGCCUGACUGCCCCCUCCUCUGGACUCUUACAGCUGAAGUCCACAUAUUCUUGGGGUCUAACCAAGACCUGGCAUAGGUUCUCAAAUGUUUAACUUGAACACUAAACCCAUGGUGACUAUAGUACAAGGAGCAGUAUCAUUUAUAAUCAGGAUUAAUAUCAUUAAUUGUAUUGAGUUGAAUUAUAAAUGGCAUUCAAGUGGGUGGCUUACAGCCACCUGUUCUUAGCAGGAGCACAGUAAGAGCCUAGAUUCAGCUCCCUACCCUUCCAUGUGAUCUUAGACCAGUUACUUAGCUUCAGUUUGUCUGUAAGCUGGUAAUCAUAGUUACUGAAGUUAGUUCAUACACAGUACAUCUAACUACCUGGUAAGUAGUUAGGACUUGGUAGUGCUAAAAGAUCAUUUUUAUAAUACUGUAUGGAGCAAAAUGACAAUACGGAUAUUUAGUAUUUAUAUAAGACUAAAAUACUGGCUUUAAUGUUCAUUCAGUAAAUAACAGAGCAUCCAUUAUGGGCCAAGUACUAUUGUAGGUAUCGUGAAAACAUCAGUGAACAAAGCAGAAAAAAGUUAAUGUGUGUGAUCGCAAUUGAUCCAUUGAUGGAGGCUUCCAGUGGAUCCAUUGAUGGAGGCCUGUGAUGCUUCCUUAGCUGAGUGCAGUGAGGAGAUGGUAUUUGGUAGGACAAAAGGCUUACAUGAGGUGACUUCAAAUGCUACAUAUAAAGGGGAAGAAAAAUUGAGAGAGAACAGUCCUGAAGCCUUAAUAGGCUAUAGAGGGUUGUUCUGGCAGAACAAGGAGUGUGCAAGACACCAUGUCAACAGUGGUCCAGUGAAAGUGAAAAUGGGACCAAGAGAAUGACAAUCUCUUCUAGCUACCGUCAUGAUGAAAGAUAUAAAACAAUUGUUAAAGUCUGAAGGCUCUAGCAAAGUUCCCAAGGAUAACCACUGGUUUUUCACAAAUAGCUCGACUCCACCGAGUCCUGGUGGCAGUUCUUUGCCCCUUGAGGACUUACAUGGGAUGGAUGAACACACGGAGACCCUGGGUCUGCCACGGAUCCUCCCUCUCCCACCAGCCAAUUUGAACCAGUGCAGUCUUGUUCAUACUUUGGUUUUCUGAAUAACUUGUUUGGCAAUAAGGGUUUUAGCUACAGUUUGAAGUCCACUAGACUAAACAGUAGUUCAGAGUCCAGAGUUUAGAGCUACAGAAAUACUAGAACUGCACUGUCCAAUAUGACAGCUGUUAGUCACACAUGGCUGUUUAAAUCAAACCUAAAAUAAGAGUUCAGCCCCCCCAAGUGCAUUAACCAUACUUCAAGUGCUCACCUAUGGCUAGGGGCUACCGUACUAGACAGCAGAUAUAGGGCAUUUCCAUUACUGCAAAAAGUUCAUUGGCAGUCCUAGAGAUUAUAUGAAGACAGAAGAAAAACCUGUAAAAACCUAGAGAGAUGGUGUAGUAGGUUGAAUAAUGGCCCCCAAAAGGGUCUUGAGAUGGGGAGACCAUCCUGGAUCAUCUCCGUGGGCCCUAAAUCUAAUCACAAGUGUCUUAUAAGAGGGAGGCACAAGGAGGUUCCAUGCACAAAGGUGGAGGCCAUAUGAAGGUGCAGCAGAUUUGAUAUUGGCCUUGAAACUGGGGUGAUGCUGGCAGCUGCUGGAAGGUGGGAGGAACAUGUUGAUUCCCAAACCCCACCCCCCAGAGUCUCCUGGGGGAGCAUACACUUGGUUUGAUCCAGUGGGAUUGAUUUCUGACUCCUGGACUGCAGAAUUAAGAAUAAACUUGUUUAAGCCACCAA